UGAGCAUUCGCCAAGGGGUAAGGCAUAGGAUUUUGAUUCCUAAAUCGUUGGUUCAAAUCCAACAUGCUCAA
rnacentral:tRNA from 7 species